AAAGGGAGACCUAAUUCAGGUAGGAGACGAAAAAAAAGUAGUCGCCACCAAGAAUCAAUCCCAAAAGGUCGGAGCGAGGCGAAAUUGGCUUUCAAACUAGGUUCUGGGUUCAAACAAGACCUGAAUCAGGAACAAGGGCUAUUAGCUCAGGUGGUUAGAGCGCACCCCUGAUAAGGGUGAGGUCCCUGGUUCGAGUCCAGGAUGGCCCACCUGUACAGGUGGCAAAAAGAAAGAAAAGAAGCGAGGAAUCAGCACCUUAUCUUACUGACAUAGUAAGAGAGAAUGCUGGCUCUGAGUAAAGAGUCCAGAGGAACCUUGAAAACUGCAUAGAGCUAGGUGAAAAAGCCAAAAAAGAAGACCGCAAG
rnacentral:tRNA from 1 species